rnacentral:rRNA from 1 species
GACAGAGGGUGCAAACGUUGUUCGGAAUUACUGGGCGUAAAGCGAGUGUAGGCGGUCUCCUAAGUCGGGUGUGAAAGCCCCGGGCUCAACCCGGGAAGUGCACUCGAAACUGGGAGGCUAGAGUAUCGGAGAGGUUGGUGGAAUUCUCGGUGUAGAGGUGAAAUUCGUAGAUAUCGAGAGGAACACCGGUGGCGAAAGCGACACACUGGGUCUCAACUGACGCUGAGGCACGAAAGCCAGGGGAGCGAACGGG